rnacentral:rRNA from 1 species
AGUGAACGCUGGCGGUAGGCCUAACACAUGCAAGUCGAACGGCAGCACAGUAAGAGCUUGCUCUUACGGGUGGCGAGUGGCGGACGGGUGAGGAAUACAUCGGAAUCUACUUUUUCGUGGGGGAUAACGUAGGGAAACUUACGCUAAUACCGCAUACGACCUACGGGUGAAAGCAGGGGAUCUUCGGACCUUGCGCGAUUGAAUGAGCCGAUGUCGGAUUAGCUAGUUGGCGGGGUAAAGGCCCACCAAGGCGACGAUCCGUAGCUGGUCUGCGAGGAUGAUCAGCCACACUGGAACUGGGACACGGUCCAGACUCCUACGGGAGGCAGCAGUGGGGAAUAUUGGACAAUGGGCGCAAGCCUGAUCCAGCCAUACCGCGUGGGUGAAGAAGGCCUUCGGGUUGUAAAGCCCUUUUGUUGGGAAAGAAAAGCAGCAGGUUAAUACCCCGCUGUUCUGACGGUACCCAAAGAAUAAGCACCGGCUAACUUCGUG